UACGGAGGGAGCUAGCGUUGUUCGGAAUUACUGGGCGUAAAGCGCACGUAGGCGGAUCAAUCAGUCAGGGGUGAAAUCCCAGAGCUCAACUCUGGAACUGCCUUUGAUACUGUCGAUCUAGAGUAUGGAAGAGGUGAGUGGAAUUCCGAGUGUAGAGGUGAAAUUCGUAGAUAUUCGGAGGAACACCAGUGGCGAAGGCGGCUCACUGGUCCAUUACUGACGCUGAGGUGCGAAAGCGUGGGGAGCAAACAGG
rnacentral:rRNA from 1 species